rnacentral:rRNA from 1 species
CCUACGGGAGGCAGCAGUGAGGAAUAUUGGUCAAUGGGCGGGAGCCUGAACCAGCCAAGCCGCGUGAGGGAAGAAGGCACAGCGUAUCGUAAACUUCUUUUGUCAGGGAACAAAGGCAGGGACUAGUCCCCGGAUGAAGGUACCUGAAGAAUAAGCAUCGGCUAACUCCGUGCCAGCAGCCGCGGUAAUACGGAGGAUCAGAGCGUUAUCCGGAUUUAUUGGGGUUAAAGGGUGGGCAGAUGGGUUGGUAAGUCAGGCGUGAAAGUUUGGGGCUCAACCCCGGGAGUGCAGUUGAAACUGGCGGGCUGGAGUUGGGGAGAGGUAGGCGGAAUGCGCGGUGUAGCGGUGAAAUGCUUAGAUAUCACGCAGAACCCCGAUUGCGAAGGCAGCGUACCGG